UACGUAGGGGGCGAGCGUUGUCCGGAAUUACUGGGCGUAAAGAGAGCGUAGGCGGCACUACAAGUCUCAUGUGAAAUACCCGGGCUUAACUUGGGGGUUGCAUGGGAAACUGUAGAGCUUGAGUACAGGAGAGGCAAGCGGAAUUCCUAGUGUAGCGGUGAAAUGCAUAGAUAUUAGGAGGAACACCAGUGUCGAAAGCGGCUUGCUGGACUGAAACUGACGCUGAGGCUCGAAAGCGUGGGGAGCAAACAGG
rnacentral:rRNA from 1 species